rnacentral:rRNA from 1 species
AUGGAUGAGGUCACAAGGGGUAUACAAGGAGAUAUCCCAUGGUGUAUGCUCUUUGCGGAUGAUGUGGUGCUAGUUGACGAUAGUCGGACGGGGGUAAAUAGGAAGUUAGAGUUAUGGAGACAAACCUUGGAGUCGAAAGGGUUUAGGCUUAGUAGAACUAAAACCGAGUACAUGAUGUGCGGUUUCAGUACUACUAGCUGUGAGGAGGAGGAGGUUAGCCUUGAUGGCCAGGUGGUACCUCGGAAGGACACCUUUCGGUAUUUGGGGUCAAUGUUGCAGGAGGAUGGGGGUAUUGAUGAAGAUGUGAACCAUCGAAUCAAAGCCGGAUGGAUGAAGUGGCGCCAAGCUUCUGGCAUUCUCUGUGACAAGAGAGUGCCACAAAAGCUAAAAGGCAAGUUCUACAGGACGGCGGUUCGACCCGCAAUGUUGUAUGGCGCGGAGUGUUGGCCGACUAAAAGGCGACAUGUUCAACAGUUAGGUGUGGCGGAGAUGCGUAUGUUGAGAUGGAUGUGUGGCCACACGAAGAAGGAUCGAGUCCGGAAUGAUGAUAUACGAGAUAGAGUUGGGGUAGCACCAAUUGAGGAGAAGCUUGUCCAACAUCGUUUGAGAUGGUUUGGGCAUAUUCAGCGCAGGCCUCCAGAAGCUCCAGUGCAUAGCGGACGGCUAAAGCGUGCGGAGAAUGUCAAGAGAGGGCGGGGUCGACCGAUUUUGACAUGGGAGGAGUCCGUUAAGAGAGACCUGAAGGAUUGGAGUAUCGACAAAGAGCUAGCUAUGGACAGGGGUGCGUGGAAGCUUGCUAUCCAUGUGCCAGAGCCAUGA